AUGGCGGCCGGCAGCGCCGGCGGCCUGGCGCGGCUCGGCGACGGCCGGCAGGUAACGGGCCGCGGGCAGAACCCGGGCCCCGCCGCAACGCUGCUGCCGCCCGCCCCUCUCCGCCUCCGGGGCCGGCCCCGCCCGGCCGCGGCGCCCCCAGCCCGGCCCUCGGGGUGGGUAAAAUGGCGGCGGCGCGGCCCGGGGCUGGGCGGCCCGCAGGGGGCUGAGCGCCUGCUGCUGCUCCGGCCUCGGCGCCGCGGCCUCGGGGCUCUGCCCGCCCGCCCGCAGGGGGUGCUCCGGCUGCCCUGGGGUGCUCCGGCUGCCCUGGGGUGCUGCCCUUCCCUUGUGAAGUGGCGCCGAGAUGAAAGGUGUCCUGUUAUGAACAACAAACAUCUGCAAGCAACUGUGAGAGCAAGCAGUACUACCAGCCAGCACCUGCCUGUUCAGCUGCAACAUCCUGCUAGCGAUUCAUACUCCCCACCAAGUGAGUGUUUCUGGAAUCCAGCAGUGGUGUCUUCUGUACGUAUGUUUUAUUUUAACGUUCUUGUAGUAUAGGCAGGUUUAGAAUUGGUUCUCAAAUACAACAGUUAGAACAUUAACAAAAAAACAACUGAGGCCACUACUUGUAGCUACAGGAGGAAAUGAGCCUCCUGCUCUUUUUGGAGAAGCCUCUCUUCUCAACUGAAAGAGAAUAGUUUCUUCAGUCUGAAGUGGUUACUAUGAAUUGUCUCUUUUAGCUCAAAUACCUGUUUCAUAUCAGGUGUUCAGUUCUCCUAAACAGGUUAUUUUUAAUGCACGUUCUGAAACAAAAUAAGAAAUUGGAGAAAUUAUUUUCACUUCCCUCCUUUGUGUCUUUAUAAGCAGAAAACAUAACAUGCUACUUUGCAAUUAUGUCUCCAGACAAAAUUUGAAGUAGCUUGAAUGCAUUAGUAAUAUUUAUUUGUUUAUCUGUUGAGAAAGUAUGAUGAUAUGAACUGUGGAUUAUAAACAUGCUUCAUGAAUUCCUUGAAACUAUGCUAGAUAAAGUGAUAUUUUUACAGCAUUGCAUGUGAGAAAUCAAAAUGAAACUAUCACAGAAUCAGUAUUUCACCUUUUCAGUGGGUAACUCCAUCACUGAUUUCUUUUUUGUUUUGUGGGGAAUAGGUAAACUGUUUGUGAGCCUGUAAAACAUAUUCCUCAAGCUCCUGGACAUAUUUCUAUAUUUAGAAACUUAAAAUAGUGAGCAGUAUAUUCAUAUCUGAAAUUGUUGAGUAACAUCUUCUUGAGGAAGCAAGAAGUGCUAAAAACUGGCUUACAUUUUGCUAAUCCUUAUUUUUUUCUUCUGAUAUUUUAGUGCUGUUAAAAGCUUUCUUUUCCAGAUAAAAUGUAAAUAUUUUGAUAAGAAAACUGCAUUUAUCAAAGUAUGGUGUGUGUCAAAUUUAUCUGAGAGAAGAGCAUCUGUUUUUUUAGUUGCUUAUCUUUGACUCAAUUUUCCCAUACUUUACAAAUCUACUGAACUCUUCAGAGAACAAAUGGAUAAAAAAUAACUGAUUUUUAAUGAAGUUUCACUCAGCU
rnacentral:lncRNA from 1 species